CCUACGGGGGGCAGCAGUGAGGAAUAUUUGUCAAUGGACGAGAGUCUGAACCAGCCAAGUAGCGUGAAGGAUGACUGCCCUAUGGGUUGUAAACUUCUUUUAUAUGGGAAUAAAAUGUUCCACGUGUGGGAUUUUGUAUGUACCAUAUGAAUAAGGAUCGGCUAACUCCGUACCAGCAGCCGCGGUAAUACGGAGGAUCCGAGCGUUAUCCGGAUUUAUUGGGUUUAAAGGGAGCGUAGGUGGAUUGUUAAGGCAGUUGUGAAAGUUUGCGGCUCAACCGUAAAAUUGCAGUUGAAACUGGCAGUCUUGAGUACAGUAGAGGUGGGCGGAAUUCGUGGUGUAGCGGUGAAAUGCUUAGAUAUCACGAAGAACUCCGAUUGCGAAGGCAGUUCACUGGACUGCAACUGACACUGAGGCUCGAAAGUGUGGGUAUCAAACAGGAUUAGAUACCCCUGUAGUC
rnacentral:rRNA from 1 species